UAUAACUAUAAUGCAUAAACUAUAAAAUUAUACAAAAAGUAUAAAAAAGUACAACAGUUAUUCUUUUCCAAUGUUUUUUUUUUUUUUUUUUUUUUUUGGAUUUACAUUUAAAAAAAUAGCCUACUGCAAUCAUUCUAAACAGCUUGAAUAAAACCUGUUAAUAUUUAUUAUAGACCACUGUAACGGUGUAUAAUUAGGGCUGUCAAAUGAUUAACAUUUUUAAUCAAAUUAAUCAGAAUUUUCAGUGGAUUAAUCAUGAUUAAUCACUAUUUGCAAAUACACCUGAAUCCUAACCAUUUUAUUUUUCUGAAAUGCGUACAAAACGAUAAAUAACAGGACACAGAUACAUAAUUUUCAUGUAUUGAUUCAUCAAUAUGUGGUUCUUUUUUUCUGAAUUUCAAAAGUUUAACAUUUACUUAAUCAAAUUUACCUGACCACUGUAUCAAACCAUGCCAUUUAACUACAGAUAGUGUAAGAGUUUUAGGUGAACCAGUGGUUAAAUAUAGCCACAUAUCUAUGAAAUUAUGCAUAGAGAAACUCGAAAGAAUGAACUCAGAAACACAAACAUGCGCCCUCUGUACUCUGGGCACUCUUGUUUUUAGGAGGUGUUCAUUUGCUCUGCCACAAUUCUUUAGGAUCGAUAUUUUUCUGAAGGCUUCAAGUGCCAGUAAAACCAAGUAAAAAUGCAUAUGCUUUUCCAAACAGCUGUAAUUGCAUGUAGGCUUUCUGAAACACAGGACGCUAUAACAGGAAUACGCUCCAGCGUAUCAACUACCAAAGUCGUCCUUGUUUAUCGAGCUUGGCAUGAAUGUAUUUGAGAGUAACUGGGGUAAAACCUUAAGCUUCUUCGGUGUUUUCGUCGCGGCGCUCGACGCUGUUUUUUACUAUCUUGAGAAUUCAGAGAUCGACGAGACUUUCCUGACCUGAAUAAUUUGUCACACUGUGCAUGCGUGAAAUUUGUUAAAAAAACCUGACGUAAUUAACAACAAACAACUAAUUAACGUUGUUAGCGUGCUAUUUUUGACAGCCC
rnacentral:lncRNA from 1 species